UACGAAGGGGGCUAGCGUUGCUCGGAAUUACUGGGCGUAAAGGGCGCGUAGGCGGAUAGUUAAGUUAGAGGUGAAAGCCCAGGGCUCAACCUUGGAAUUGCCUUUGAUACUGGCUAUCUUGAGUUCGGGAGAGGUGAGUGGAAUGCCGAGUGUAGAGGUGAAAUUCGUAGAUAUUCGGCGGAACGCCAGUGGCGAAGGCGACUCACUGGCCCGAUACUGACGCUGAGGCGCGAAAGCGUGGGGAGCAAACAGG
rnacentral:rRNA from 1 species